UGUCUCAAAAAGCAAAGAGAGAGAGAGAAAACAAAACGUAACCUUUCAUAAUUAUGUUUUUAUACCAUUUUAAUGGUUAGGUAAUAUGUAUAAUUCUUAAUCCAGGAACUAGGCUAUGCAAGAUACCUGUACUUGCUUUCAUCCAAAAUCUAGAAAACUGCUCUGUCAGGUUAGGGAGAGGGAUGUUCAGUUUCUCAGUUGUAGCUUGCUUCUCCCGGGGCCUUGCAAAGAUUCCAUGGGGUGUGUGUGUGUGUGUGUGUGUGUGUGUGUGUGUGUGUGUGUGUGUGUGAAUGAAAAAUAUACAAGUUAGUAAACAUGGAAAAGUAGGGGUUUUAUGUAUAGCCUUAUCUCAACACACACACAGACACACAGACACAGACACAGCCACACACUAACAGACAUUCCAAAAGAACCCUUUGGAGGAAAAUAAAAACUUUCUCUAAAACCAAAUCAAAUUGAUAUUCCAUAAAGAGAUAAUACUUGUAUCCCAUGACUAUCUCUAACACUCCAUUGCACUGGAGGUCCUUUGUAACACCAGUAUCUCAGUGUGAGAAGCAAGGCUCUAAAGUCACAUGGAAACAUUACCCUAGUCUUACUAUGCAUGUGUGAUGUUUUGACUAAGAUUCUCUGCAGAUGUUAGCAUACUAAGGACAGUCUGUAUUUUGGUACAGAGCAUUUUGACACAAAUAAAAAAGCAAAAGCAAGCAAACCUUUCAGAGAUAACUACUGUGAAUGUUCUCCCAAACUUCAUAAAUGGGAGGCAUGUAUAUUCAUAGAGAUAUCAUCUAGGUAUCAGGGAAAAAAGACAUUCCCAGUCAAUUUGUACAUCAAAGGUUACAUUGUAAUGGUUUCAUUUUAAAACAAAAAAUGUCCUCCUAAAAGAUUGAAUCUCUUUACAUUACCAGAGGUAGUGAUCAGCAUAAGUACUAUAAUCUUGGGCAAAAAAAGUGAGGUAAUUAUUAUUUGCAGUUAUUUGUUGCCAUGAUAAUGUGCUGGCAUAGAUUUAUUGAACAUAUUUCUUUUUCUGAGUUUUAUUUAGAUAUAAUUCACAUACUAUACGAUUCACUCAGUUUACAGAUUAAUGAUUUUUAAUAUGUUCAUUAUCACAAUACUUCUUUUUUAUAGUUUUACAGAGAUACUUGGCAUUAAUACUAUUUUCAAGUUUGUAAGUAUCUUUAGGAUUUCUGGUUUUAGAAAAUUCUUUCCAAUUCAGAGUUUAUGGAAUGAUUCUCCUAAAUUUUCUUUUAAUACCCUGAUAAACCAUCAGAUUUUUAGAAUUUUUUAAAACAAAUAAUGUACAAAGCAGAUAGCUUUACUGCAUCUCUUCAACCUCAUGAGAUGGGGCUAUGAAGAAGAAUGAAUGAGCACCAACGUGCGAGUUGACAGUUUUUCUUAUUACUCGGUAAUAAGAGAUGGUACUUGGUAUGCGACAAGCUCAGAUGUCGUCUGUAAAAUGUUAUGCUUCAUCUUAUCACAUCCUUUGUUCAUCUGGAUAUGAAACAUCAGAAUAUAUAGAUACUAUCUCCCUUCACAUUGUCACCAUUUCUCUUUACUAGGGAGUUGCUUCUUUCUGUUUCUAAAAUGAAAGUCUAUGCAUAUAUAUUUAUGGAAAUGGCAGCUUUUCAUAGGAUUUCUAGAAUUUUUACAUAAGUGUAGAAGAAAAAGUUCAAUUUAAACUGUACUUUGAAACUUUGUAGAUAUAUCAUUUAUGUAACUUUCAUCCUGGGAAUACCUCUGAUAUGUAAGUUUUCUAAUUGAUGUGUCUUUAUUUUUUGAAUGGGGAGAAUUACCUUGGUCAUUAAAUGUAAUAUUUACACUUGAAAGGCAUUGUCGCCUCUUUAUACUACACCAUUAUAUUGAUGGAUGUAGCCCUGUGAGGGGAUUUUCCUAAACUCUUGCUCUGCAGAUUCUUUUCAUCCUUGGGAAACCUAUUUUCAUAUUCAUUUUAGUUUUUCUUUUAUCCCACCUGCUUCUUUUUUCUUAUAAGAAGAAAAUUUCAAAGAUUUCUAGGUAUAACUUUUACUACUAGCAAAGUGACAUGUUUUUUCCUUUUGCACUUGUCAAGAAACCUUAUAAAUGACAAAGAUUGGGAUUAGAUCUAAUUCCAUUGACCCAUUUUGGACAGUAUAUAUAUUUCUUGUAUAUACUGAAUUAAUCCUUUUGCAUUACCAUAAAGGAGUACUUGAGACUGGGUAAUUUUAUAAAGACAAGAGGUUUAAUUGGUUCAUAGUUCUUGGCUGUACAGAAAGCAUAAUGCCAAUAUCUGCUUCUGGUGAGGGCCUUAAGAAGCUUAAAACAUAGUUAAUAUUGUGUAGUGCAUUCUAAGAUUGAAUCAGUAGCAGAGAAAGAACAGAAAAGAAAGAUUGAUGAAAAAAGAAUAAAUACACAAUCCUCGUGGUUCUUACAUUAGAAAAUUCUGUAGACCUCGUGCCCUCGGGCGUAGAGGGGUAUCACUGUGCUGUUCCAUCCACCAGUGACCCCCACACGCCCUGGAGUCUCACACGCAGUUGGCUUCUUCAUGUAUGUGACCAGUUUCCAGACCCCUGAAGGUGUUUGCAGCUUUGACCUAUGAUUGACCUUCCUCACACUAUCUUAUUUUCUAGUUUUUAAAAUGAAUUUAGAGGUUUUAGAUGUCUACAAAGGUAAAGAAUGAAAGGGGAGAAAAUAACAUAGUUUUAUCAUCAAGAAAUCUAGCAGAAGUAUGUUUGGAGACUCGGUGAACCUGCGCAUUAAAGUCUGGCUUUGAAGUCACCAAGAAUUCAUUUGGACUCAGAAAGCCCUGGGUUUGAAUUUGUGCUUCUCCAUGUACUGGCAGUGAGGCUUUGAAUAAAUUCUUUAGGCUAGCACAGGUAGGCCUCGUUGGUGGUACUUAACUUGUUACUAGUUUCUUUCCUUUGUUGAUUGAAAGUUGAAUAUAGUUCUGUAUUCGUGAUGACCUCUACUAAUCAGACUAAAGGAUACCAAUUUAAGAAUCCAGGUUGGCUGGGUAGGUAACUCCUGAAUACAGAGGAGAGGACAGAAGUCUGGUUGCUGUUAUUCCGGAGAGGUCUUUUGAGGGGGCAUGGUGCUCUGAUUCCCUUUGUGCCGAACUGAGUUGGUCAUCAUUUGUGUUUCUUCGGCAGGAGAAUGCCAAGGAAGAUGCUGGGAUCUCCUUGAAAGUCAGGGCCUUGGCUUUCUGUCUUUCCCCACUUUUGAACAUAAUUGUGCCCACCUUGCAAGAAUGAGAAUUUGUGAAGUUUUCGUGUGGGGAGCAGAUUUGUCUUGUGUCACAUGAAUGCCUUUCUUUGCCCUACGCAUACCUUCUUUCCCAUGCUGAUUCCUCCCCUCCUUCUCCCCUCUUCUACAUUGGGAAAUAGAGUCUCCACCCCCUUCAUGCCACCAUAUGAUGUGGGUUUAUGUUGCUACAGGCAAAGAGGGCAGUAGAAAGAUCUGUUCCUUCCACAGCUGCUGCUGCCGUCUCUUUCCUCAUCACUCCAGACACUGUUUUAGCAAAGGAGGCUUGGCUACAAAUGGCAAAAUCCUGAGCAAGCCAGUGUUGAAAUAAACCCAGAGCUUCUGGGCCCCUCUAUUGCCUCUGGAAAUGGACAAGCUGGGGCAUAGUAUUAAGGCAACAAAAGACAAUUGCAAAGACUAAAAUCCCCCCAUGAGAAGGAGGAGGCUUUAGGGGCUAAGGAUAGGAAAGCACCUUGCCAUUAACAUGCGGGUGCACAUGCUGCUGGGUGGUUCAGCUGUAUAGCCCUACAUAUAGGUCAGAGAGUGUAUGUGAGAGGGCAGAUAUAAGGGAACCAGAGAGAGUAAAGCCAAGCAGGUUAAGUCUGUGCUGAGAGAUAAGACCACACAAUUUCAUCUCAGCUUAGUAGUAGUACUAAUAAGUCAACUACUAGCAAGAACAACAAUUUGUAUUUCAUUGCUGUGACAACAUGCCCCCACUGUUGUUCAAGUGUAUGCACUACUGUUCCAUUACUCUUUUAUCACUUCAUUUAGUAAAAUCAUCAGGAGGUCAUUGCAGAGGGACUUUGGGAACUCCAGUGCCUGGAUGUUAUCAUCCCAUUACUGACUAUGGGGAAGAAUGGGCAUUCCAGAAACCAUCACGACCAUACCUUUGGAGGUGCUCCAGAACACCACUGUUGCCACAAUAAUUGUUCCCAUGAUCUGAUUAGGAUUUUUGUUUUUAGGUCGGGACUGAAUAAGGUUGAACUCCCAUUUCAGGAUUCAUAUAUCUUCAACCACGUUAGUUACACAUCCUUAAUUUUAAACUGUACUUUUAAAACCUCCCCUCCAAUUUUUGACAUUUCACAAAUUGAAAUAUUUCUUUCUAUCAUUAAGUACAUAAUAUAGGUUUCUUUUUUCCCAGGUGAAUCAAUGCUGCAUUGUACUAUUAAUCAUUACUUAGAAUUGAGAAAGUAAGAUAUUUUUAUUUAUAUUCCUAUUGAGCUACACUGAUUGUUGAAGAUUUAAUAUCCUAACCCCACUCACAUCUUUUUCCAAUUUACUUUUAAUUUCUUCCCAUUAUGUAAUAUCUACUUAUGAAGAUCUGAAAAUCUAGAACUGAAUAAUCAAAAAUAAUUCUUAUUCAACCAGGGACUUUUCUUAGAUGACAUAUCCAUAAAGAAGAAUUUAAAGUAUUAUUUUAAAUCUUUUAAACUUAUUUUAGAUCUUUUAAAAUUGUUUUAUAAAUACAUUGUGAUAUUUGUAUUACCGAGCUCUUUGAAUUAUUCUUACUUUUCUAUUAAUUUACACAGCAGAUUCAUUUUUUAGAAAAAAUAAAAAUAGUGUAUAUCAAAAAAAUAUAAAUUUUCAUGAUAAAUUUAUGGUUUUACGAAUGAUCCAGUCAUUUAUGAUACUGGUUUUCUCUCUCAUGCUCAUGUAAUUUAUAAAGCAAUGUUUGACUUUUGUCACAGAUAUUUUGCCAUAUCUUUAAUUUACUGGUUUGUGGCAGCAUUAGACAAUAAAAUACAUAAGCCCUGUGGUACAAGCUUCCUUCGUGAAAGGAAGACAUUGUUGGUAGUGGUGAAGCUUCACCAUCACAAAGGUUAAGUCUGUCAGUCCUUGUCUCUAAUGUAUCAUUUAAAUGUAUACAUUAUGUAAGCAGUUGGUGUCAAAAUCCUGCAAGCCCUAAAGAAAAAAAAAAAAGCUUGAGUAGUUCCUCUUUUAAGGAUUGACGGCUUGCAUACCAUUAAAACAAUAAAAUAAUGGACAAUAGUAAAACACUAGCCUGGACCACUUAGCUGUGUGUCACUGUUUCCUUUUCUCUGAAGAACUCUCUCACCUUGGAACACUAACGUUGGCAAACUUUACAAAAAGCUUAAAAAUGCUUUAAAAAUAUUUUAAAAUAAAACAUCUGUAGUUUUUACCCCACCCUGGGUCCAGUGAUCUUGCUGGUUGAAUUUCAUGUUAAAAUUGAAUUAUAAGUUAGCAAUUAAGUAUAUUUUUGAGGAUCAAAUUAUCUGUCUACAAACUUAACAAUGGUGUAACUGUUGAUUUCUGGUGAAGUGUGGAAAGGUGGAUGCUUCCUCUCUCUCUUGUCAUACUUGCUCAUGUCUUUCAUUUUCACCUCAAAGUAUGGGAUCAUAUGGCUUUUGAAGAUCUUUCCCCCAUAUAGUCUUUUUGUAGUUUCUUUUAACUGAGUCCAGUCUUACUUGCCCUCCGUAGAAUUUGUGAUUCCUUAGUCACACGUGGAAUUGUAGUACUGUGUACUUGCUCCAAUAAUAAAAAAACACCUCCAACUUUUGAAUCAAAGUUGGAAUAUUUACAGCUUCUAUAAAUGAGACCCUUCCAUCACCUACCUUCCUCCUUGAAAAGAUGUAAUGCACAUUUUAUAUUAGCCAUUUUAAUAAAACUCACAAGUUUAUGCUAGCAAGGAAGGCUUGCUGUGGGAUUUAGGGAUCUUAGUUUUUACUGUUGAACUUAGCAAGAGAAUUGCCUGGGGAUAUAUUUACCAUCUUUGGAAGACAGAAUACGUACAGGAAGAAGAAAGCCAGGCUGGAGUAGGUAAGAUUAAAGCAGACUUCUAAGCAAAUAAAGUUUAUAAAAUGAUAACUGAAGAACCUUUGAGAACCCAGCAGAGUUCUUAAUGGAAUGGUGGAGAAUUCAGAGUCAGAAGCUGGGACCAUUUUCCCACCUUACUAAUUGUGUUCUUGAGUAUAUCACUGAAGUUCAGUUUUCUUAUAUUUUUAAAGCAUGACCAAUAAUACCUACCUCAUAGGAUUGUCCUUGGAUUUAAAAAGAUUUUAGCAUUUUGCAAAAUUUAUAAUAAUAUUUUAUUAGUAGUUUUUAGCUUACAAAACAUUAGAGAUUUUUCAAUUGAUAUAAGAUCUAUUAUGGAACAUACCAAAGCAUAUUAUAGUCCUCUACUAUGUUAAUUUUCUCACAAUAUUACACAUUGGAUGGUUCAGAAAUAUUUUUAUACAUAAAACUUGUACUGAGUGAAAUGGACUUGUUUACAAUUUGAGGUAUUUCAGGGCUAAGUAUGUUUAAAGUGGUUGUGUUUUUUUUGUGUGUUUUAAUAGAUCGCAGUAAGUCUGCUUAAUACUCACAGGAGGAACGCUGUUGGACCAUAGCCCAAGGAUUUUCUAAAUACUCAGAUGUUUCCUUUCUCUGGUAAAUUAUCCAUCAUGUUCUGUCUCAUUUCGGUGUGGCUUAUUCCCUGCAGUUGGUAAUAAAAAAGUCCUGGGUCAUUUAAACAAGUAAUUAAGAGCACCAUUUUACUAUUUCUUGCCUUUGAAGAGUGUUAAUUUUAUUUGUUGUGGGUUAAUGAUGCAUUUAUUGUCUAUGUGUACAGCUUCUAGUAGUUCAAAGGUGAAUCAUUCUAAAAGUAAAAAGAAUUUUUCUUUGGUAAUAUUUAAUUGGGCUACUGCUCUUUAACAAAAGACAUACGCUUCUCCCAUUUAAAAAAAAAAUCCUUUUUAUAAAUGAAAUGCAAAACUAAACGUAACUCUGAACCAAGAAAAUAUCAACUUAAAAAGUCUGAUUAUUUGCUUGGGAAAAUGCCAAUAUAGCUAAGUUGAAUUAUCAUUUUAUGAGACAUUUAUUUGAAUAAUGAAUGUGGCGUUAUUUAACAGGGAGAGUAUCAUAUACAACUGUAUAUAACUUGUAUAAUGAGAUACAGUUUUGUACCUUCUUAGUAUACUUUUGCAAGUGGCUUUCACAAAAAUUCAUUCUUUCAUUCCUUUAGUAUUUUAGUACCUACUAUAUGCCAGGAACUGUACUAGAUGCUAGGAUAUGUCACAGUAGAGUCAAGCAAACAAUCAGUGCUAUUUUGAUAAGUCUCCAGUACACCACUACACAAUAAACAAAUUUAAAAAGUAAAAUGUGAUAUGUUAAGUGGUGAUACAUGUUGCCCCAAAAUAUAGUAUUAAAUCAUAAGCAUCACUGUGUGUGCAUGCACGUGCGUGUGCAUGCAUGAGUACUGCUUUAGAAAGUACUACAUGAUCAGUAGAGGCCUCACUGAGAAGUUGAUGUUUGAGCAACUGUGUGAAAAUUGUAAAGGAGAUAGUUAUACAACUUCUGGGGGAAGAACAUUCCAGGCAGAGUGAGUAGCAGAUGCAAAUGUCCUAAGCAGGAGUAUUUUGGCACAUUGCAGAAUCAUCAAGGAGGCCAGUCUGGCUGGUGCAGACUAAGCAAGAGUGUAGUGUAAUUGGUAAUAGGGUGAUUAAUAGGGCCUUCUCAUGUAGGCCUCUGUAGGCCACUAGGACUUAUGUUGUCACUUGGACAAUUGGAAACUUUUGAGGAAAUGAAUGGCAUCUGACUCAUAUGUCUCAAGAUUACUCUGGCUGCUAUGUGAUACUAGGGGCCAGGGGCCAAGGUAUGGAAUUCUGUUAGGAUACUAUUGCAGUAAUUCACUUGGUGAUUGCUUGAACAUUGUGGUAGUGAUUGAGGUGGUGAGAGGUGACCAGUUCUGGAGGUAUUUUGAUGGUAGUUGAUUGGAUCUGCUGAUGUGAAGUGUGAGAGAGAAAAAGAUGACUCUUCUGGGUGUGGUGGCUCACACCUGCAAUCCCUGCACUUUGGGAGGCCAA